rnacentral:rRNA from 1 species
UACGUAGGGUGCAAGCGUUGUCCGGAAUUAUUGGGCGUAAAGAGCUUGUAGGCGGUUUGUCGCGUCUGCUGUGAAAUUUCGGGGCUCAACCCCGAACUUGCAGUGGGUACGGGCAGACUAGAGUGUGGUAGGGGAGACUGGAAUUCCUGGUGUAGCGGUGAAAUGCGCAGAUAUCAGGAGGAACACCGGUGGCGAAGGCGGCGCUCUGGACCGAGACUGACGCUGAGGCGCGAAAGCGUGGGGAGCAAACAGG